rnacentral:rRNA from 1 species
CUACUACAUGGAUAACUGUGGUAAUUCUAGAGCUAAUACAUGCUAAAAAUCCCGACUUCGGAAGGGAUGUAUUUAUUAGAUUAAAAACCAAUGCCCUUCGGGGCUCUCUGGUGAUUCAUAAUAACUGCUCGAAUCGCAUGGCCUUGCGCCGGCGAUGGCUCAUUCAAAUUUCUGCCCUAUCAACUUUCGACGGCUGGGUCUUGGCCAGCCAUGGUGACAACGGGUAACGGAGGGUUAGGGCUCGACCCCGGAGAAGGAGCCUGAGAGACGGCUACUACAUCCAAGGAAGGCAGCAGGCGCGCAAAUUACCCAAUCCCAAUUCGGGGAGGUAGUGACAAUAAAUACUGAUACAGGGCUCUUUUGGGUCUUGUAAUCGGAAUGAGAACAAUUUAAAUCCCUUAACGAGGAACAAUUGGAGGGCAAGUCUGGUGCCAGCAGCCGCGGUAAUUCCAGCUCCAAUAGCGUAUAUUAAAGUUGUUGCAGUUAAAAAGCUCGUAGUUGAACCUUGGGCCUGGCUGGCCGGUCCGCCUCACCGCGUGCACUGGUCCGGCCGGGCCUUUCCCUCUGGGGAGCCGCAUGCCCUUCACUGGGCGUGUCGGGGAACCAGGACUUUUACUGUGAAAAAAUUAGAGUGUUCAAAGCAGGCCUAUGCUCGAAUACAUUAGCAUGGAAUAAUAGAAUAGGACGUGUGGUUCUAUUUUGUUGGUUUCUAGGACCGCCGUAAUGAUUAAUAGGGACAGUCGGGGGCGUCAGUAUUCAAUUGUCAGAGGUGAAAUUCUUGGAUUUAUUGAAGACUAACUGCUGCGAAAGCGUUCGCCAAGGAUGUUUUCAUUAAUCAGGAACGAAAGUUAGGGGAUCGAAGACGAUCAGAUACCGUCGUAGUCUUAACCAUAAACUAUGCCGAC